rnacentral:rRNA from 1 species
CUAGGACCGCCGUAAUGAUUAAUAGGGACAGUCGGGGGCAUCAGUAUUCAAUUGUCAGAGGUGAAAUUCUUGGAUUUAUUGAAGACUAACUACUGCGAAAGCAUUUGCCAAGGAUGUUUUCAUUAAUCAGGAACGAAAGUUAGGGGAUCGAAGACGAUCAGAUACCGUCGUAGUCUUAACCAUAAACUAUGCCGACUAGGGAUCGGACAAUGUUAUUUUUUUGACGCGUUCGGCACCUUACGAGAAAUCAAAGUGCUUGGGCUCCAGGGGGAGUAUGGUCGCAAGGCUGAAACUUAAAGAAAUUGACGGAAGGGCACCACCAGGGGUGGAGCCUGCGGCUUAAUUUGACUCAACACGGGGAAACUCACCAGGUCCAGACACAAUGAGGAUUGACAGAUUGAGAGCUCUUUCUUGAUUUCGUGGGUGGUGGUGCAUGGCCGUUCUUAGUUGGUGGAGUGAUUUGUCUGCUUAAUUGCGAUAACGAACGAGACCUUAACCUGCUAAAUAGACCGUAUUGCUUUGGCAGUACGCCGUCUUCUUAGAGGGACUAUCGGCUCAAGCCGAUGGAAGUUUGAGGCAAUAACAGGUCUGUGAUGCCCUUAGAUGCUCUGGGCCGCACGCGCGCUACACUGACGGAGCCAGCGAGUACUCCCUUGGCCGGAAGGCCCGGGUAAUCUUGUUAAACUCCGCCGUGCUGGGGAUAGAGCAUUGCAA